UACGUAGGUGGCAAGCGUUGUCCGGAAUUAUUGGGCGUAAAGCGCGCGUAGGCGGCUUUGCAAGUCGGGUGUGAAAGCCCGGGGCUCAACCUGGGAAUUGCAUUCGAGACUGAAUAGCUAGGGUACGGUAGAGGGAAGUGGAAUUUCCGGUGUAGCGGUGAAAUGCGUAGAUAUCGGAAGGAACAUCAGUGGCGAAAGCGACUUCCUGGACCAGUACCGACGUUCAGGCACGAAAGCGUGGGGAGCAAACAGG
rnacentral:rRNA from 1 species